GAAAUACUCCCUCUGUCCCAAAAUUAUUGUCUUAGAUUUGCCUAGAUACGGAUGUAUCUAAUAUUAAAACAUGAUCUGAUACAUCCGUAUUUAGACAAAUCUAAGACAAGAAUUUUGGGACGGAGGAAUAGUACUAA
rfam:Triticum urartu cultivar G1812 contig273907, whole genome shotgun sequence.